GACGUAGGGGGCCAGCGUUGCUCGGAAUUACUGGGCGUAAAGGGUUCGUAGGCGGUGUGGCAAGUCGGGAGUGAAAUCUCUGGGCUUAACUCAGAGGCUGCUUCCGAAACUGCCGUGCUAGAGUGCGGGAGAGGCGAGUGGAAUUGCAGGUGUAGCGGUGAAAUGCGUAGAUAUCGGGAGGAACACCAGUGGCGAAGGCGACUACCUGGCCUGUUCUUGACGCUGAGGCGCGAAAGCUAGGGGAGCAAACGGG
rnacentral:rRNA from 1 species